CUAAACACAACCCCGAACUCCUCUCCGUUAACAAAACCAACUAAACUUCCCAGCUCUCUUCCCUCUUCCGAACCAAGCAAUCAUCCGAGAUCUUCCCAACAUUAUCUCCCCUGUUCCACGUCAUUUCCAAAGAAUAGAACCGCUUCCACCUGUGAUGAAUCCCAGCCUUCAUCCCGUUACUAAUCAUCCUUAACCCAUGGCCAGCCGCAUUCCCAAGCGUUAUGGAUUGAUUCCAUCCUCCACGAAUGAGUUCCAAGCGUUAACGCUCCCAGCUCAACCUCAAAUCCCAACUUCAUGGCUUCCGAUUCUUCUUCCCAGACUUCACGGAAACAGAUUCUCCCAGCUCACAGAUCCUACGCUUAUCCCGUUCGGAUUGGUUCCAUCUUCACGGGAUAAACUCAAAUCCUAAAAUUCCCUGUUCCGCGUGAGAACCAGCAACCACCCUCUUCUCCCGCGAUGCAGAUCAAACUUCAAUCGCAUCCUCCCCUGUUACGUGUAUCAACCGAUGCCUUCAUCACCCACAUCGCAUCCCCUGCUCCGCUAGAUCUCAGCCAAGAUAGAUGCAAAUCCAAGCUUCCCAGCAUCCGGAUUAACUUCAUCACCCACGGAUUCCUCCUCUUCCCCUGUUUCGGAACAGAGCUUCAGUAAUCCGCGAGGUGUCCACGAGUCCCCUAGCCGCGAGCUUCUUCCACGUAGUCCAUCCCGUGGCCGCAGAUCAAGCAACUUCCCUGAACCAGACCUCAUCCUGAUACGAUCAAGUUUAGCCGUCCACAGAUGAAGUCUCGCUUCCAAUCUACUCCCACGUCCGGAUACUCCGCAAGCUUCUUCCAGAUUCUUCACGUUCGCGAAUCACAGCCAGCCACCAUCCGUGAUUCAAGGCUCCUUCCCUCCACGUCUGCAGCCUCUCUCCCAUUUGCGAUCAGCCUCCAUCGACCACAGAUCAUCCCAAUCUUCUUCCGGAUAAGCUCCAGUCCCAGCAACCUCCUGCGUCUUUUCCGUGAUUCAUCGUCAUCUCCUCUCAACCGGGAAUGGAGAGAGAGGUGGGCAGCCUAUAAAAGGGGCCACGCAUGAAACAGAGAAUUCAUUCCUCCUUCCCCACCGGGGGGCAUUCCCUCUUCCCCACUGGGGACUGAUCCCCAUCAAGAUCUUCUCAGAGGCGGAAUCCCACAAGCUCCCACGGGAAGAAGAAAAAAAUAAAAGGAGAGAGAAGAGUUUGGGUAUUUUGGGAAUAUUUCAAAGGAGCUCUUUUCUGAUCCGAAGAAGUCUGUGGCUUGAUCAUCAGGGAG